rnacentral:misc_RNA from 1 species
AAUGGGCUUCUUCAGUGGG